GGGCUGUGUGACUCUGUGUACUCUUAGCUACUAUUACUUUUUUUUUUUUUAAAACAGUUUUGGUAGCUCCCAAUAUGACAGGUUUCAAUUCUGGGUUUGCCCCAUCUCACCCUCUAUCCCCUACAUGAGUUAUGCUGCAGAAAAAUAUUUUAACUUUGCUUAAUUGCAAAUUAGAUCAUCAGUAGACAGGGUACCUGGUUUUCCUGGGUGUCCUCUGCACCAAUGUAGAGAUAGCAGUCUCUGCCUUUUGUGCUCCAAUCCUGGUUUUUGGGUCCCGUGAUUUUCUCCGAUGUCAGAGCCAUGUCACCAAAGUGAUCCAUCCCAUCAAGUUGACCUAGUGUCUCUUUCAAGUUUAGUAAGCAGAAUUGAAGUGUGUACUUAACAUCAUUGCAAGUUUUAAUGAAGUUUUCUAGAUCUCCAGUACCUUUUUGUAAAUCUUUUGCUGAAUGAGGGUAAGCCAGUGGCAGAGGCUGCUACUCUGACUCUGGGCUCAUUUCCUAGAAGAAACUUGGGCUAUCCUCAGUCAGGUAGAACUUGCCUGGGACAUGGUACAUGUUGAUUUUCAGUGUAAUUCUCAUGGUUAUGGCCCUGUGGAAUGUUCUUUUAAUGUUUGGGAGACACCCAAAGGGGACCAGAGCUUUCUUCUCCUUAGGAAACCUUCCCUGACUUACACUAUUUCAAUGGGCAGCCAAUGAGUCCAUGAGGACCAGGGCACUCGCAUGGCCCUUCCCCACUCCUCUUUCCUAAAGCAUUUUAGGAACAAGAGCUUGUCAGAAAUUAGAGUGCUAGCAGGGCUCCCCAGAAUACAGUACCUCUCCUCAGGUCUGGCUCAGGUUACUUUGUUCUUUGUCCAAGUCUUUUCCUGGUGACAGAACCUCUGCUAACCUUGGCCCUCCUCUGGAAGUGAGCGACAGCUUAGCCACUGAAGAAAGAGUUCUCCUCAGGAGAACCUUUCCAUGGAAUAAGGAGAGAAGUGGGAGAGUGGGAAAUUAGAGCAGCAAGAAGCAUGAGAUGGGAGAUGUUUUCUAGUCUUCAUGGGGCAGUCUUGGAUGCUGGCAGGAUGGCUUCAUGGGGGGCAUGAAAUAGGAAAAUGUGAUAUUUAUUAUAAAUGUGUUUGGAGCAAUACAUGCUUUAUGGGGAAAAAAUCCCAUUCUUUGCAGGAAGCUGCACUCCCUGACCUAAGAGGUUUUUGUCCUUGUCUAAUUCAUCUGGUUAAAUCAAAGUUUGUGACUUAAGAAGAAAUGUCUCCAGAGACUAUGGAUCCAGUGGAGGAAAGUCAAAGGAAGAUCAAAUGUUACUUUAAUGUAUAUUAUAUUUUAGAAAACAGUCAGUCCAUAAAACAAAUAGCACACACAUGCAAGAUUUGAAGUCUGAAAGAUCUAAAAUAGAAUCUCUACUUUGUUACUUUCUGUGUCAUGUUGUGCAAUUUGUAUAUUCUCUCUGAACAUCAGUUUUCUUAUCUACCAAAAAGGGACAACAAUAAUAUUACAGGGCUUUAGUUAAUAAAAGCCUUAUUUUAUGUUUAUGAAUACUUAUUUCAGAAAUAUAAGAAUAUAAGUAAGAUGUGUAUAGUGGACAAAAACAGUAAUUUUAAUUAUUAUUAUUUAGGUCCUAUAAAUAAUAAGGGGUCCCAAAGUCAAAAAAGGGGUGGAUGAGAAUAGAAAUAUUAAACUCUAGGAUGACGAGUUCCUUUAAAACAUAGGGUAUGUUAAAAUUCAUUUCAAGUUUAAAGUACAAAAGCCAUUUUGGGGGGAAUGGGAGAAAAGUCGGUGGCCUUUAGUUAGGGUGCUGUCCAGGGAGCAGCCUGAGUUUCAAAGGGUAGCCUUUCUCCCACCUCCUUGACAGAGGGAGCCCCCAGAGGGAGGAGUGGAAGGUUCUUGAGAGGACGUAGCUCUUUAAACUCAUGUUUCCAUCCCAAGAUAUUUUAAGAGUCUGGCAGUUAAGGAGACUCUCUUUGGUUAAUAGGAAGGCUUGCAAGGGUAUUCUUAGAGUCCAAUUACAGGAGUUUAGUUCUAUUUAGUUCAUUUGUUGCUCAACUUAAGGCAAAGAAGAAAGGGUCUAAUGACUCAGAUAGCAGUAGUAACAUAAUUUAACUCUUUCACCAAGAUCUUCAUGAUGAGGCAAAUUUUGCUCAGAUGACAUUUGAUCAGCGUACCAAAUGGCCCAGAUUCACACAGUCUGAUCACUCCCAUGAGUCUGUAGCACUAAGAUCUAUUUUCCUCCCCUUUAUUUUAUGAUGUAAAUCCCCAUUCCCACAAAAAAAAGCUUCUUUACAGUCUCCAGACCCAGGGGUUUGAUCACUUAUCCCCCUGUCCCUCCAGUUCUCACAGGUCUCUCCUUCCUUUGACCACUUCUGUUAGCAUGGCUGAUAAUUGUUGCAUUGGGGUGAUUUUUCUCUCCUUAACUAGACUGAAAAUAUAAGAGCUGGGCAUACUAUCUUCCUUUUUGGUACUUCCCAUAGUAUAGAUAAUUGGAGGUGCUCAAUAAUUAUUGAUUAUAUGAUUUUGGGCACAAAUGUUAGUAUGAUAGUGUGCUGAAGUGAAAUAAAUUUAUUUAUUGAACUAUCACAAAAAUAACAUGCAAAGAAAGUAUGUAGGAUGUGGAGCAAGAUGGCAGAGGGGUAAGAGGUCACACUCACCCUCUCCCACAUAUACAUCAAAAAAAGCCACAUCUACAUGUAAAGCGACUCACACAGAACAUCAACUGAAUGCUGACAGAAGAAAUUAAACCUCAAAAAAAGGGCAAGAAACUCUUGACAUAACUGGCAAAAACAAAGGAAAAAAAAAAGAGAGUGAGAGAAAAGGAGUCAGGAUGGCACUAGCAUUCCAGAGAGGGAGCUGAGUAGGAGAAAAUGGACCUACACGCUAGGAAGCCACCUAACCCACAGAAAGAUCAGCCAAGCUGGAGGGGCCUCAAAGUCACUGAGAAAAGUGCAGCAGUGGGACUGAGAAUGGAAAAGCAGAAUGAGAGUCACACAGAUCAUCUGAACUACCAGCCCAGAAACCAUAGCCUGAGAUGCUUCGGGUGGGGGCUGGAUGCUGAGAUUUAGAUUCUGGAGGUCAUUCCCAGAAGAGGGCUGAGGUUGGUGGUGUGGAGACAGCCUAAGGGGAUAAGGAACAAUGCGCCACAGGCAGGGAAGUGGGUACACCACAGGCUUGGGAGUGAAACACCAGGGCAGAGGGAACCCAGGAGAAAGUCGGGACAGGUAGGAGAGGCAAAGCACCAUUGUUGGGGAGAGAGAGAAGAGGAGGGGAAGAUUGCCAUAGGAAACUCCUUGUGCUGGAGCGCAUGCAUAUAUCUGCAGGCUUGCAGAGGGUGGGGCUGUCCAGGGCAAGAAGCCACUUGCUGGUAUGUAGCAGACCAGAUGGCUCUGGUGCAGACCACCCGUGGUGUGAAGCCACUUGCUAGUCCACAGUGGAUAAGAUGUCUCUGGUACAGGCAGCCUGCGGUGUAGACCUUCUUGCUAGUCUUCAGGAGACCAGAUGGCUCUGGUGCAGACUAUGCUGAGAGAAGCCUCUUGCUUGUGUCUGAGGGAUUGGGUGCUUCUAGUGCAGCCUACUGGUGGCCAGGCACCUCUAAUGUGGGCUAAGGGCAUCAGGGGGCAAAGCGUGAUGCAGUGCUCACCAAGCACCACACACUGUUGCUCUUGCUCCCCUGGGAACAUACCCAGCUGCCACCGCCAAAUGCUCUGGGUGGUGUCCAGACACUUGGUCACUGUCCCUUCCCAAGACCACACAACUAGGAGCAGUGGGUGCAGCACCUCCUGCAUGGUCUAAGUGGGACAGGGGGCUUCUUGUGUGGCCUGCAGUUGGAGGAGGCAAACCACCACAGUUAUCCCUGACUCCAGAGGUGGGCAUGGCACACUGCCACUGGGGAUACCUGAACAAAAAUCACUUGCAACCCCAACCACCUCAGAGGGCAUCACAGAGAAGGACAUUAUGACAAAAUACCACCUGUUAUUGUUCCUGCUCCCCCGGUAGAACACCAGCCCUGCUGCUGCCACUGCCAAACACUUGUUCACUGUCCCUUCCCAGGAACAUGCAACUAAGAGCAGCUUGUGCAGCAUCCUGUGGGGGCUAAACAGGAUGAGGUGUUUCUUGCAUGGUCUACAGAAGGUGGGGGAAAACCGCCACAGUUAUUUCUGGCUCCAGAGGUGGGAGUCGCCCGCCUCAACUAGAGGUCCAUGAACAAGCACUACUUGCAGCCCCAACCACAUCAAGGGCACCCAUAAGAGGGCACUGUGACUGAAUACCACCUGUUGGUGCUCUCACCCCUGGAAACAUACUGGCCCUGAUGCUGCCACUGCUGAAUGCUCUGGACAGCACCCAUACACCUGAUCUAUGUAACUUUCCAGGAUCCUUCAACCAGGAACAGCCUGUACAGUACCUCCUAUGUGGGCUAAGUGAGAGGGGUUGCUUCUUGCAUGGUCUACAGGUGGUGGGGGCAAACCACCAAAGUUAUCACUGAUUCUAGAGAAGCUCAUGGCCCACUUCCACUAGGGGUCCCUGAACAGGAACCACCAGUGGUUCCACUCACCUCAGAGGAGGGCAUUGCAAUUGAAUGGUGGCUGUUGUUACUCUCACUCCCAUGGGAACUCACGCACCCUGCUACUGCUAUUGCCAAAUGCUCUGAUCACCUUGUAGAUUGGACUAGGGUUCAUUAUCACUUCUCAGGCCCUGCAACAAGGAGUAGCCAGUGCCACCUUCCUGCAGGUCCUUGCUACUGGUGAGAGCCCAGCAACCAGGCACAGACUAUUGGCCCUACCCAUUACUUCCUUUUCCCUGAAAACACACUGAGCAUCCUGGGGAUAGUAGCCUGCUCAUACCAAAGAGAGACAGCAAAUAAUCAAACUCCCACGCCAAAAAUAAAUAGUAACCCCCCCCCAAAAAAAAAACCACAAAGGGGUUAUCUUGUUUAGAAGUAGCCUUAUAAGACUACAGUUUGGCUUCCCCAAACUCACAGAAAAAGAAAAGCAUAAGCAAGAUAAAGAAGCUCAGAAACAAUUCCUAGCUAAAGGAAUAGGAGAAUUCACCUAAAGCAGUCAACAAUGAAACAGACCUCUGCAGUCUGACAGACAGUGAGUUCAAAAGCACGACAGAGAAAAUACUGGAGGAAUUAAGGUUGAAUAUCAAGGAAUAAGAGAAGACACAAACAGUAAUGCAGAUGCCAUUAGAAAGGAACUAGAAAAUAUAAGAAGGAGCCAAGAAAAGCUAGAAAACUCAUUUGCAGAGAUGCAAACUGAGCUACAGACAAUAAAGAGCAGAUUGGAUAAUGCAGAGGAAUGAAUUAGUGACCUGGAAGAUAGAAUAAUGGAAAUCACACAAUCAGGACAGCAGAAAGAAAACCAAACGCAUAAACAUGAAAGCACUAUAAGAGAUCUAUGGGAUAAUAUAAAGUGGGCCAAUCUAUGCAUAAUAGGAAUUCCAGGAGGAGAAGAAAAAGAAAAGGGGAUUGAAAACAUAUUUGAAGAAAUUAUGGCUGAAAAUUUUCCAAAUCUAAAGGAUACUGAUAUCAAGAUACAGGAAGCACAGAGGGCCCCAGGUCCACACCAAGACAUAUUAUAAUAAAAAUGGCAAGAGUUAGAUAAAGAGAGGAUUCUAAAGACAGCAAGAGAAAAGCAAAGCAUUAAUUAUAAGGGAAGCCCCAGAAGGCCAUCAGCUGAUUUCUCUACAGAAACACUACAGGCCAGAAGGGAGUGGCAAGAUAUAUCUAAAGUGCUGAAAGGAAAAAAUUUGCAACCUAGAACACUCCACCCAGCAAGAAUAUCAUUUCAAAUAGAAGGGGAAAUAAAGAAUUUCUCCAACAAACAAAAGCUAAAAGAGUACAGCAAUACUAAACCCAUUCUAAAAGAAAUUCUGAAAGGGCUUCUCUAAAUAAAAUAAAAAAUAAAGAAGUAAGAAGAAAUAGAAUGGAGUAAACCACAAUUGGAAAGCAAUCACUUCAAAAAGCCAGCAUACAGAUCUAAACAUGAAGAUGCUCAAAAUAAAAAAAUGAAUAAAUAAAUAAAUAAAUAAAUAAGAAAGACAUCAAAAUCUUACAAUAUGGGGAGGGAUAAUAGGAUAAUUUAGAUUCUUUUUUAAAAAUUGAAAAAACAAUUAAUGAUGUGUUUGAGCCUAUAUGGUUAUCAGUCUAAAGCAAGCAGAUAUAGGAAAGGGUUAACAUACUUAAAAAAGAGGGCAACCACAAAUUAAACUGAACAUCACAUUCACAAAAACUGAAAUGAAAAUUACUCAAGCAUAAAAUAAAUGGAAA
rnacentral:lncRNA from 1 species